GGUGUGACUACUGCCCACAGGAUGAGUAUGGUGUGACUACCACCCACAGGAUGGGUAUUGUGUGACUACCACCCACAGGAUGGGUGUGGUGUGACUACCACCCACAGAAUAGGUAUGAUGUGACUACCACCCACAGGAUGGGUAUGGUGUGGCUACCACCCACAGGAUGGGUAUGGGGUGACUACCACCCACAGGAUGGGUAUGGGGUGACUACCACCCACAGGAUGGGUAUAGUGUGGCUACCACCCACAGGAUGGGUAUGGUGUGACUACCACCCACAGGAUGGGUAUGGGGUACAUAAUAAAGAUAUUAAACUAACUAACUUGCCUCAAACUAUUCCUCAUCUUCCUCUGUUAUUCUCUAUAUUGGACUGAAGAAGUCACUGGCUGGUGAAACAUUUCCUCGUAAAGAUUCCAAAAAUGUCGCACAAGUGUCUCAUUCUUCAACUUUUUUGUUUUCUAAACAAUUUUCAUUAUAUUUACGAUUUGCCAUCAAAAUAUUUGCAUGAUGGAUCAAUAAAUUUUAAUUUUUCACAAAAAUGUAAAUGGCUUCAUUUUAACGCAAUUAUUUUGACAAGUUAAGAGGUUAUCCCACCUCGGCUCUGAGUAAGAUGUGCUAACACUCAGGUACCCACCACCUUACCUCAGCUCUGAGUAAGAUGUGCUAACACUCAGGUACCCACCACCUUACCUCGGCUCUGAGUAAGAUGUGCUAACACUCAGGUACCCACCACCUUACCUCAGCUCUGAGUAAGAUGUGCUAACACACAGGUACCCACCACCUUACCUCAGCUCUGAGUAAGAUGUACUAACACACAGGUACCCACCACCUUACCUCAGCUCUGAGUAAGAUGUGCUAACACUCAGGUACCCACCACCUUACCUCGGCUCUGAGUAAGAUGUGCUAACACUCAGGUACCCACCACCUUACCUCAGCUCUGAGUAAGAUGUACUAACACUCAGGUACCCACCACCUUACCUCGGCUCUGAGUAAGAUGUGCUAACACUCAGGUACCCACCACCUUAUCUCGGCUCUGAGUAAGAUGUGCUAACACUCAGGUACCCACCACCUUACCUCAGCUCUGAGUAAGAUGUGCUAACACUCAGGUACCCACCACCUUACCUCAGCUCUGAGUAAGAUGUGCUAACACUCAGGUACC